GGGGAGGAGAGUUGACCGGUGUUUGUGGUGGAGAUUGAAUUGGCGUUGGCGACUGUGGCUGUGGGGAGGGAACAGUUGGUGGAGGAGAGUGGACAGGCGGCGGGGGAGAAUAUACCGGUGGUGGUGGAGAAUGGACUGGUGGUGGAGGUGAAUGGACUGGUGGUGGUGGAGGUGAAUGGACUGGUGGUGGAGGAGAGUGGACUGGUGGCGGUGGAGAAUGUACCGGUGGUGGUGGUGAAUGGACUGGUGGUGGCGGUGGUGGAGAAUAAACGGGUGGUGGAGGUGAAUGGACUGGAGGUGGAGGUGAAUGGACUGGUGGUGGAGGAGAAUGUACCGGUGGUGGUGGAGGAGAAUAUACCGGUGGUGGUGGUGAAUGGACUGGUGGUGGAGGAGAAUGUACCGGUGGUGGUGGUGAGUGGACUGGGGGUGGAGGAGAAUGAAUUGGUGGUGGUGGUGAGUGGACUGGGGGUGGAGGAGAAUGAACUGGAACUGGAGGAGAAACCGUUGGGGGAUGUGAUUGAUGUGGCGGAGGUGGGCUGCGUCGGAACUUCACUGGAGAUUGAUCAUAUGGAUCAUUUGGUUGUGGGGACUCUUUUGGAGGUUGUGGAGAUGAAUACACUGUUGGUGGUGAAUGGACAGGUGCUGGUGGUGAGUGGACUGAAAGUGGAGGAGAAACCGUUGGGGGAUGUGAUUGAUGUGGUGGAGGCGGGCUGCGUCUGAACUUCACUGGAGACUGAUCAUAUGGAUCAUUUGGUUGCGGUGACUCUUUCGGAGCUUGUGGUUUCUGAACCGGUGAUGGUGGUGAAUACACUGGUGUCGGGGGUGGUGGUGAAUGGACAGGUGGUGGUGGAGAAUAGACCGGUGGGGGUGGAGAAUGAACCGGCGGUGGUGGAGAAUGAACCGGUGGGGGUGGAGAAUGAACCGGCGGUGGUGGUGGAGAAUGAACCGGCGGUGGUGGUGAAUGGACUGGUGGGGGCGGUGGUGGUGAGUGGACUGGUGGCGGAG
rnacentral:lncRNA from 1 species